rnacentral:lncRNA from 1 species
GGGGAUGGGGGGCUGUAGAGAGUAAUGGGAGUGGCUGCUUAAUGGCUAUGGGGUUUCCUUUCCAGUUUCAUGAGAGGUGAGGACCAAUCCAUAGUCAGCCUUUUGCCCAACCCUGUAAGGGGCUUUUCUGCUUCAUCCGGAGAGGAAACCAGGAAGCUGCAGGAGAAGCCCCAGGCUGGAGAGCCAGGGAACGGUGCAGACCACUCUCCCCACCCCCACCGCCUUCGGGGCAUCGUGGAGGGCGUCCUACCGUGGACUCGCGCCUAUGAACAGGAGGUUUGAUGAAACAUUUGAUUUGAUGAAAAUGUUCUGGAACUAAAUAGUGGCAGUGAUUGUGUGGCAUCAUGAAUGUACCUCAUGCCACCGAAUUGUGCGUUUUAAAACAGUUAAAACGGUAAAAAUAUGUCAUUGGUACUUUAUCGCCAAAAAAGGGCAGAGAUCAAAUGGACACCAUAAUAAUUUCCAUUAUUAAGCAGCCAAUUCUAUAUCUUGAUUAUAAAUCCAUGGACAAGAUCCCUGGAAUACAACAGGAGAGGUCAGACCAUCCUCAACACAGAUUACACCACCGCAGGCCAAUUCACACAGAAUGAGCACAGGCCUUCCUUCAGAUGACCAGUGGCGGUGCUAUCGUUAGCUUUGCUGCUUAACAAACCUCUUCAACAUCCAGCAGCUUAAAAUGAUGUCCACUUUAAGAAGCCCACAAUUGUGUGGGUCAGCUGGACUGUUCUGGUCUGGGCCAGCUUGGCUGAUCUCCACUGGGUGCUCUCAAAUGUCUGUGGUCAGUUGGUGGGCUGAUGGCUGCUGAAUGAUAGAUUAGACCCUCCCUCUUAUGCUGGCAUUUGGCUGGGGAGCCUCAGCUGGGAGGUCUGGUAUCUGCUCCACAUGUUCUGUCAUCCCUCAGUGAAGCUAGCCUGCAUCCACAGAGCAGCUGGGAGGGCUGGUCUCUGCUCCACGUGGUCUCUCAUCCCCCGGUGAAGCUAGCCUGCAUCCACAGAGCAGCUGGGAGGGCUGGUCUCUGCUCCACGUGGUCUCUCAUCCCCCGGUGAAGCUAGCCUGCAUCCACCGAGCAGCUGGGAGGGCUGGUCUCUGCUCCACGUGGUCUCUCAUCCCCCGGUGAAGCUAGCCUGCAUCCACAGAGCAGCUGGAUGGAGAACCUGAAAGGCACCUGGAGACCUGGGCUCAAAAUACCCCAGCCUCAUUCUGUUGAUCAGAACAAGUCACAGACCCAUCAGAGUCAAGGGUGGAGGAAAUAGACUCCACUUCCUGAAGGGAGGGGCUGCAGAGAAGUUGUGGCCGUGCUCCAGUGCAUGCUAAGCCCCAGGUGCCCGGUUCUCUGAAGCCUGAUUAACCCCCACUUUAUCCCUAUGUCCUACCACCCUUCUCACCUCUGGGGUGAGCUCGAAAGGGGGUGAGACGCAGGGAGGUCAGGGUGUCCAUGUCACAUGACACUUAGUAGAGCAAUAUAGCUGAAUAUAUCAUGGCUUGCCAAAAUAUCCCCAUGUCUAAACAGCUGCAUUAAAGGAACCACAUCAAAAUAUCUUCCCUGGUUUUUGGUGUGGUUCCAGAUUUCUUUUUGUUUCAGAACUAAAUAGGCCUCCCACACUUUCUUCUAUCUGGGUCUGGUAACUCCUCCUCUUGGUAGCUAACGGCAAGGCCUCUGGACAUUCAACUGGGUUGGGAGUGGCAGGGGGCUCCAUGCAGGUAGGAGAAAUCAAGUAGGCAAAGAAAGAUACAGGAGCAGCAAGAGCCUCUAUCCAGAGUGGUCAGAAGGUGCAGACUUCUUGCCCAGAAAGGACAUGAAAACCUGUCCAAGAACCAGGCCCGGUUCCUUGCCUGCUCUCCCCAGCACUUGGAGGGCUCCACGGUUGGCCGCAGCUGUAUCACUCACAGCAGAUUUUACAAGCCUGUCCUUCUGCCAGGGCCCUUUCAGAAGUGAAAAUAGCUGGAAUCAGCCUGCUUUCCCUAAACCAUGAAAACAUCUCACUGUACCUCAAGCUGCGACUUAGUGCUGUGUCAGCCCACACCCCAGCACACUUCCUGGAGGAACCCGUCCGAGCAACCUCAGGAGGGUGCACUGAGGACCCGUUCUGCACACGUUUAAACGCAGGGUCGGAUUUUAAACAGGAUAUCCAGCCGGAGACGAAGGUAACUGUUGUCUUGGUCACUGCUAAGAAGCACCUGAUCGUGCAAGACAUACCGCUCAUGAGAAAGAAAUGUUUUCAACUCUUUGUGGCACCCUGCUGGGACAGGCUCUGCCUGGUCAUUCCAUCCCAGGGGUGAUUAACCAUCCCAGUGUUAGGGCCUGGGACUUUGCUAAUGUGCUUUCAGGUCAACCACAAACAUAUUUCUAAGAUUUCUUAGCUAAUGGUGCAUUUGCGAGGUCAUUCCAGGCUAAGACCAGGAGGAUUAAAAGAUCUGAUUCCUUCCUGAGGCUCUUAGUUGUAAAGGACCAAAGAAGCCGUAAAACAAAGAUUUAUUCAGUUUCAGCCGGCCAGUUCAAUGGCGCAGCCCCGUAAGACCAGGAAAAAAGAAACAUCUGGCCAGAAAAGUACACUUGUUUACAAAAAAAAAAAAAAAAAAAA